rnacentral:rRNA from 1 species
GAUCAUGGCUCAGAUUGAACGCUGGCGGCAUGCCUUACACAUGCAAGUCGAACGGCAGCAUGGAGAGCUUGCUCUCUGAUGGCGAGUGGCGAACGGGUGAGUAAUACAUCGGAACGUGUCCGUUUGUGGGGGACAACCGUCCGAAAGGAUGGCUAAUACCGCAUGAGACCUGAGGGUGAAAGCGAGGGGACCGCAACGGCCCGGCGCAGACGGAGCGGCCGAUGAUUG